rnacentral:sRNA from 12 species
CCUGUAGAGCGUUACAUCAAACGCAAGUAGCUUACCUUUCGGGGUAGUCAAAGCGGACGUGAUGAUACAGGAA